GAACUGAAACAUCUAAGUACCCGGAGGAAAAGAAAUCAAACGAGAUGCCCACAGUAGCGGCGAGCGAAGAGGGCAGAGCCCAAACCUGUAAGCUACGGCUUAUGGGGGUUGAGGACUGACGGAAUUAAGGCCAGGCUUAGCUGAACUACCUGGGAAGGUAGGCGAUAGAAGGUAAGAGCCCUGUAAGCGAAAAGCAGAGCCUUAAGGUCAGUAUCCAGAGUACCACGGAGCACGAGGAAUUCUGUGGGAAGCAGGGGGGACCACCCUCCAAGGCUAAAGACUAACUGGCGACCGAUAGCGCAUAGUACCGUGAGGGAAAGGUGAAAAGAACCCCGGGAGGGGAGUGAAAUAGUACCUGAAACCGUAUGUCUACAAGCAGUCGGAGCGAAAGCGACGGCGUGCCUAUUGAAGAAUGAACCAACGAGUUAUCUGCACUAGCGAGGUUAAGUGGAAGACACGGAGCCGCAGCGAAAGCGAGUCUGAAAAGGGCGGAUAGUUAGUGUAGGUAGACCCGAAACCGCAGUGAUCUACCCAUGUCCAGGUUGAAGCGCAGGUAAAAAUGCGUGGAGGACCGAACCGGUGAGCGUUGAAAAGCUUUCGGAUGAGAUGUGGGUAGGGGUGAAAUUCCAAUCGAACGCGGAGAUAGCUGGUUCUCCCCGAAAUAGCUUUAGGGCUAGCCUCAGGUAGUAAGUAUAGGCGGUAGAGCACUGAUCGGGCUAGGGGCCAUAAAGGUUACCGAACCCUGUCAAACUCCGAAUGGAUAUACUGCAGAGCCUGGGAGUCAGACUACGAGUGAUAAGAUCCGUGGUCAAAAGGGAAACAGCCCAGACCACCGGCUAAGGUCCCAAAUGCCGUACUAAGUGGAAAAGGAUGUGGGGAUUCAUAAACAACCAGGAUGUUGGCUCAGAAGCAGCCACCAUUUAAAGAGUGCGUAAUAGCUCACUGGUCGAGAGUCCCUGCGCCGAAAAUUUCCGGGGCUAAAGUACGGAACCGAAGCCGUGGCUGUGUACUUAGGUGCACGGGGUAGGGGAGCGUUGCCACAGGGGUGAAGCUGGUCUGGAAGGACUGGUGGACUUGUGGGAAGUGAGAAUGUUGGUAUGAGUAGCGAAAAGAAAGGUGAGAAUCCUUUCCACCGAAAGCAUAAGGAUUCCUGAGCAACGAUCGUCGUCUCAGGGUAAGUCGGGACCUAAUCCGAGGCAAAGAGCGUAGGAGAUGGACAACAGGUUGAUAUUCCUGUACCGGCAGCAAUUGUUUGAGCGAAGGAGUGACACAGAAGGGCAGGCAGGCGCGAGACUGGAUUGUCGCGUGCAAGCGUGUAGGGUAGUGUACAGGCAAAUCCGUACACUGAAAGCCUGAGGCGUUACGCGGAGCGAGCAGAGAUGCGAGCGAAGCUGCUGAUCCCACACUGUCGAGAAAAGCUUCUAGUGAGAGAGCUGCCGCCCGUACCGUAAACCGACACAGGUAUGCGGGGAGAGAAUCCUAAGGUGCGCGGGAGAACCCUCGUUAAGGAACUCGGCAAAAUGUACCCGUAACUUCGGGAUAAGGGUAGCCGUCUUGGUGAAGGAGCUUGCCUCUGGAGCUGAAGGCGGUCGCAGAGAAGAGGCCCAAGCGACUGUUUACCACAAACACAGGUGCCUGCUAAAGCGAAAGCUGACGUAUAGGUGCUGACACCUGCCCAGUGCUGGAAGGUUAAGGAAGGAUGUCCGGGCAACCAAAGCAUUCGACCGAAGCCCCAGUGAACGGCGGCCGUAACUAUAACGGUCCUAAGGUAGCGAAAUUCCUUGUCGGGUAAGUUCCGACCCGCACGAAAGGUGUAACGAUUUGGGCACUGUCUCAACGAGGGACCCGGUGAAAUUGAAAUACCUGUGAAGAUGCAGGUUACCCGCGACUGGACAGAAAGACCCCAUGGAGCUUUACUGUAACCUGACAUUGGGUUUUGUUGUAUUACGUACAGGAUAGGUGGGAGGCUUGGAAGGCUGGACGCUAGUCUGGCUGGAGCCGGCGUUGGGAUACCACCCUUGAUACAACGGAAUUCUAACCGAGAGAGUAACGAAAUCCGGGACAGUGUCAGGCGGGCAGUUUGACUGGGGCGGUCGCCUC
rnacentral:rRNA from 1 species